rnacentral:rRNA from 1 species
AUGCGCGUCCACGCCGCCCACCUCCUCGUCCCCGCGCCUCCCACGCCCCGCCGCCAUGCCACCCUCCGGUUCGCCGUCUCCGCCGCGGCGACAUCGGUGAACGUGAACCAGGCCGACAAGCAGGCCGUCAUCGUCGGCGGCGGGCUUGCGGGCCUCGCGGCGGCCACCCACCUGGCCUCCCUCUCCGUGCCGUUCACGCUGCUGGAAGCCUCGGACCGCGUCGGCGGCCGCGUCGCCACCGACGAGGUCGACGGGUACCUGCUCGACCGGGGCUUCCAGAUCUUCCUCACCGCGUACCCGGAGUGCCAGCGCCUCCUCGACUUCCAGGCGCUGCGCCUCCAGCCGUUCUUCCCCGGCGCACUCGUAUAUAUCGGCGCCGGCGAGGGCGGGUCGCCGUUCCACAUGCUCUCCGACCCGUUCCGCUUCCCCAUCCGCUCCCUCUCCUCCGUCUUCUCCCCUGUCGGCACCCUUCCCGACAAGCUCCUCGUCGGCAUCACCCGGCUCCGCGCGGCCGCCACCCCGGACGACGUCAUCGUCUCCUCGCCGGAGACGACCACGGCGACGCAUCUGGAGAAGCUCGGGUUCUCGCCGUCCAUCGUGGAGCGGUUCCUGCGGCCGUUCCUCGCGGGGAUAUUCUUCGACCCGGCGCUCGACACGUCGUCCCGCCUCUUCGAGCUCGUGUUCAAGCGCCUCGCCCUUGGUGACAAUGCCCUGCCGGAGGCCGGCAUCGGCGCCAUCGCCGGGCAGCUCGCGGACCGCCUCCCCGCGGGCUCCGUUCGCCUCAACGCCCGCGCCGCCGCCGUCGACCCGUCAUCCGGCGUGACGCUCGACACCGGCGAGACCGUGUCCGGCGAGCUCGGCGUCAUCGUCGCGGUCGAGCAGCCGGAAGCCGAGAAGCUCCUGCCGCAGCUACCUACGAGACCCAAGAACAAGAAGGCGGCCGAGAGGAGCACCGUGUGCCUCUACUUCUCCGCGGACCGCGCGGCGGUGCAAGAACCCGUGCUGCUCCUGAACGGGUCGGGCAAGGGGAUCGUGAACAACAUGUUCUUCGCGACCAACGUGGCGCCGUCGUACGCGCCGGCGGGGAAGGUGCUGGUGUCCGUGUCGCUCGUGGGCUCCUUCGCCGGCCGGGAGGACGCGGAGCUGGCCGGUGAGGUUGUCCGGGAGCUCGGCGGGUGGUUCGGGGCGGGGGAGGUGGCGUCGUGGGCGCACCUGCGGACGUACCGCAUCGGCUUCGCGCAGCCGAACCAGACGCCGCCCACGGAGCCAACGGGGCGGGACCCCAGGAUCGGCGACGGCGUGUACGUGUGCGGUGACCACUGGUGCUCCGCCACGUUCGACGGCGCGAUGGUGUCCGGGAGGAGGGCGGUCGAGGCCCUGGUCAAGGAUGGAGGGCUGUCCCAAUCCUUGAGCUGA